GACGAACGCUGGCGGCGUGCCUAAUACAUGCAAGUCGAACGAAACUUUCUUACACCGAAUGCUUGCAUUCACCGUAAGAAGUUGAGUGGCGGACGGGUGAGUAACACGUGGGUAACCUGCCUAAAAGAAGGGGAUAACACUUGGAAACAGGUGCUAAUACCGUAUAUCUCUAAGGAUCGCAUGAUCCUUAGAUGAAAGAUGGUUCUGCUAUCGCUUUUAGAUGGACCCGCGGCGUAUUAACUAGUUGGUGGGGUAACGGCCUACCAAGGUGAUGAUACGUAGCCGAAAUGCGAGGGUGAUCGGCCACAUUGGGACUGAGACACGGCCCAAACUCCUACGGGAGGCAGCAGUAGGGAAUCUUCCACAAUGGACGCAAGUCUGAUGGAGCAACGCCGCGUGAGUGAAGAAGGUCUUCGGAUCGUAAAACUCUGUUGUUAGAGAAGAACACGAGUGAGAGUAACUGUUCAUUCGAUGACGGUAUCUAACCAGCAAGUCACGGCUAACUACGUGCCAGCCGCCGCCGUAACAC
rnacentral:rRNA from 1 species